GCGGCUGUAGCUCAAUUGGUAGAGCAUUACCCUUCCAAGGUAAGGGUUGCGAGUUCGAGUCUCGUCGGCCGCUCCA
rnacentral:tRNA from 3 species